UGGGCUAGGGUUAUUGGGCUUAGGCUAAUUGGGUUUAGUGUUUGGGUUAUUAGGCUAUCUGUAAAUGGACUUAGCUUGUAUUUUGGGUUUGCUAGACUGAUGGACUUUUAAUAAUUUUGUUUUUUAUUUUUAUUUUUUUAUAUAUUUUUGUUUAUUUAUUUGAUUUGGGCCGGGCAAAAUUAGGGUAUUACAUUGUGCAAUGAUUGAAGAUUCAUUCCAUGUCCCUCCACACUUUUUUUUUAUUGCUACAUUACAAAUGAAGCCAAUAAGCUUUACAACUAUCAUAUUUCAGGUGGUGCUUUUAUAUUCAUGCUGCCUUCCCUCUUCUGGUUUUCUUUUUUCUCCUGCAGCCACAUUUAAUCAAUCUAUCUAGCCUUUCUA
rnacentral:lncRNA from 1 species